GUGCCAGCAGCCGCGGUAAGACGGAGGGUGCAAGCGUUAAUCGGAAUUACUGGGCGUAAAGCGCACGCAGGCGGUUUGUUAAGUCAGAUGUGAAAUCCCCGAGCUUAACUUGGGAACUGCAUUUGAAACUGGCAAGCUAGAGUCUUGUAGAGGGGGGUAGAAUUCCAGGUGUAGCGGUGAAAUGCGUAGAGAUCUGGAGGAAUACCGGUGGCGAAGGCGGCCCCCUGGACAAAGACUGACGCUCAGGUGCGAAAGCGUGGGGAGCAAACAGGAUUAGAUACCCGAGUAGUCC
rnacentral:rRNA from 1 species